rnacentral:rRNA from 1 species
GACGAACGCUGGCGGCGUGCUUAACACAUGCAAGUCGAACGGAAAGGCCCUGCUUUUGUGGGGUGCUCGAGUGGCGAACGGGUGAGUAACACGUGAGUAACCUGCCCUUGACUUUGGGAUAACUUCAGGAAACUGGGGCUAAUACCGGAUAGGAGCUCCUGCUGCAUGGUGGGGGUUGGAAAGUUUCGGCGGUUGGGGAUGGACUCGCGGCUUAUCAGCUUGUUGGUGGGGUAGUGGCUUACCAAGGGUUUGACGGGUAGCCGGCCUGAGAGGGUGACCGGCCACCAUGGGACUGCGAGACGGACCAGAAGCCUACGGGAGGCAGCAGUGGGGAGUAUUGCACAAUGGGCGGAAGCCUGAUGCAGAAACGCCGCGUGCGGGAUGACGGCCUUCGGGUUGUAAACCGCUGUCGCCUGUGACGAGGCGUGAGUGACGGUAAUGGGUAAAGAAGCACCGGCUAACUACGUG